rnacentral:rRNA from 1 species
GAUGAACGCUGGCGGCGUGCCUAAUACAUGCAAGUCGAGCGAACGGACUAGAAGCUUGCUUCUCUGAUGUUAGCGGCGUACGGGUGAGUAACACGUGGAUAACCUACCUAUAAGACUGGGAUAACUUCGGGAAACCGGAGCUAAUACCGGAUAAUAUUUUGAACCGCAUUGUUCAAAAGUUAAAGACGGUCUUGCUGUCACUUAUAGAUGUAUCCUCGCUGCAUUAGCUAGUUGGUAAGGUAACGGCUUACCAAGGCAACGAUGCAUAGCCGACCUGAGAGGGUGAUCGGCCACACUGGAACUGAGACACGGUCCAGACUCCUACGGGAGGCAGCAGUAGGGAAUCUUACGCAAUGGGCGAAAGCCUGACGGAGAAAAGCCGCGUGAGUGAUGAAGGUCUUCGGAUCGUAAAACUCUGUUAUUAGGGAAGAACAUAUGUGUAAGUAACUGUGCACAUCUUGACGGUACCUAAUCAGAAAGCCACGGCUAACUACGUG